rnacentral:rRNA from 1 species
ACGUUCCUACAACAUAGCGUUAAUGCACUAGAUCCCAUUAGAACUCUGCAGUUAAGCGUGCUCAGGCUAGAAUAGUAUUGGGAUGGGUGUUGGUUGUGGAGCCUAAUUAUCUUC